UAGGGCAACUGGGCACGAAUCUUGAAGCGCGCAGCAGAGGCACCGUGCCUCCUUUUUAUUCUCCGUGAGCUGCGCAACAGAGAGGGAGAGGGGAGAGGGAGAGGGAGGAGAAGGUGAGUAGUGCGCCGUUACCGAGGGCGGGCAUGCUUCCUCCCCUUCUUCUCUACCACCUCCUACGCCGACGAGUUCUGCCGUCGGAAGUGAGCGCUCCUCUCGGGACUUGACCGCCCACGCGCCUCUUCCUCCUUUUGCAGGAGAUCUAGGGCGCAUCCACGUUAUACCAAUUAGUGAAGAGAUGCCAGGAACAAAAGUUCUUUGAUGUGUAGUCAGUCAUCUUUUAUAUCUUUUCAGAAGCUACAGAUUGGAUAUGGCCUGAACCAGCGGACGUCACAUUCUUUGCCAAGGCAGCUGCUUGGCCACCAUACUACUUCCGAGGGGAGUUGGCCGGUAUCUAGUUGCAAUAAGACUGAGUCAGGGCAAUCCAAAGCCUAAGGCCACCUGCAUGCUUGAAAUGAAAUAUGCACUGCUGUUUUAUCAACUUGAAAGCAGAAAUCUCUUUGAAUCUGAUACAUAGUCUCCUGCUUUAGACUACUCGGUUCUUGUUGCUACUGGUGAUUGGUUUUGCAAUCUUCAACUACGUGUAUGGAAGAUGCUUCAUUACAUCCAUUUCUAUGUAGAAUGCUAUAUGACUUCAUGUAUUAUACUUGAAAAUCUCAAUAAACUGAACGAGCUGCCCCUGGAAUUGUGCUA